rnacentral:rRNA from 1 species
AACGUAGGUCACAAGCGUUGUCCGGAAUUACUGGGUGUAAAGGGAGCGCAGGCGGGAGAACAAGUUGGAAGUGAAAUCCAUGGGCUCAACCCAUGAACUGCUUUCAAAACUGUUUUUCUUGAGUAGUGCAGAGGUAGGCGGAAUUCCCGGUGUAGCGGUGGAAUGCGUAGAUAUCGGGAGGAACACCGGUGGCGAAGGCGGCCUACUGGGCACCAACUGACGCUGAGGCUCGAAAGUGUGGGUAGCAAACAGG